AACGAACGCUGGCGGCAUGCCUAACACAUGCAAGUCGAACGAAGGCUUCGGCCUUAGUGGCGCACGGGUACGUAACGCGUGGGAAUCUGCCCUUUGGUUCGGAAUAACAGCUGGAAACGGCUGCUAAUACCGGAUGAUGACGAAAGUCCAAAGAUUUAUCGCCAGAGGAUGAGCCCGCGUUGGAUUAGGUAGUUGGUGGGGUAAAGGCCUACCAAGCCGACGAUCCAUAGCUGGUCUGAGAGGAUGAUCAGCCACACUGGGACUGAGACACGGCCCAGACUCCUACGGGAGGCAGCAGUGGGGAAUAUUGGACAAUGGGCGCAAGCCUGAUCCAGCAAUGCCGCGUGAGUGAUGAAGGCCCUAGGGUUGUAAAGCUCUUUUACCCGGGAAGAUAAUGACUGUACCGGGAGAAUAAGCCCCGGCUAACUCCGUG
rnacentral:rRNA from 1 species